GAUGAACGCUGGCGGCGUGCCUAAUACAUGCAAGUCGAGCGGACGGACGAGAAGCUGGCUUCUCUGAUGGUAGAGGCGUAAGGGUGAGUAACACGUGGAUAACCUACCUAUAAGACUAGUUUAGCUUCGGGAAACCGGAGCUAAUACCGAAUAAUAUCUUGAACCGCAGGGUUCAAAAGUUACAGACGGUCUUGCUGUCACUUAUAGAUAUCUCCGCGCUGCAUUAGCUAGUUGGUAAGGUAACGGCUUCCCAUGGCAACGAUGGAUAGCCGACCUGCGAGCGUGUUCGCCCACACUGGAACUGAGACACGGUCCAGACUCCUACGGGAGGCAGAGGCAGCGACUCUUCGGAACUGGGGGGAAGCCUGCCGGAUCAACGCCGGGUGAGUGCUGCAGCUCUUCGGAUCGUAAAACUGUGUUCUUAGGGAAGACCAUAUGUGUCAGUAACUGUGCUCAUCGUGACGGUACCUACUCAGAAAGCAACGGCUAACUACGUG
rnacentral:rRNA from 1 species